rnacentral:tRNA from 1 species
GACCGCGCAGCUCAGUUGGCAGAGCAUUGGGCUAGUAUUCCAAAGGUCCCGCGUAGGUUCGAUUCCCACCGUGGCCA